rnacentral:lncRNA from 1 species
AUGUCAGAGUCCCUCAGUACUGGGAGCAGGAACCUCCACUGCCGCACCUUUCCCUCCCGUAGUGGAAUUUUUGUGUCUCAGCCUAUGUUUGGUGACUCCUGCUGGCAAGUAUCCCUCAAAGACAGGAUUUCAUCCCAAAUCCAGGCGCUGGUGGUCGGUGUCCUGACAGCCAUCGGCGACCACGUGCUGAAGCCGUUCCUGGCGGCGGCGUUCCACAGCCUCCUGCAGCCGCUCCUGCUCUUCCUGCUGAAGGUGCUGGGCGGCGUGCGGGACCUGACGGAGCCCGUGCUGGACGUGGUGGCCCGGAUAAGAUAAGGAGGAAGAAUUCCUGGGAAUUGCGGACGAGCGGGACCAGCUGCGGCCCAGGAGGCUCCGGAGGGACCGUGAUCUCCACGUUUAUCUCCACGUGUGUCCGGGCAGGGGCAGCACACGGCGUGCUGGGGGUUGGUUUGGAUCUUCUAGUUCUGCAAAUAUCUCCUUCACUUAAUUAAAUUCCAAUUUUAUCCAUUGGACCAUUGCUCCAGUGAGGUGUUUUUCCUCUUCCUGCCUGGAAAAGUCGGCUUUUCACUGAGUAGGACUUCCCUGUGCAGUCUCUUGCCACCAGAUGGGUUCCACUAGCUGUGGUGGUGCCCAGGGCCUGUGCCUCGGGCACUGCCGGGAGGGGAUGGCUUCUGCCAGCUUCCAGCUCUCUGGAAUGGUCUCCAGAGCCAGUGGUAUGGGACAGACUGGGAUUUGGGGGCGAUUGAAAAAUAGGGAUUACAAUAUAACGGAAUAACCACCUCUGUGUUCCUAACA